AGCUAGCAAAUCCCAUAAACCGUGGCUCAGUUCAGAUCGUAGGCUGCAACUCGCCUACGUGAAGUAGGAAUCGCUAGUAAUCGCAGGUCAGCAUACUGCGGUGAAUACGUUCCCGGGCCUUGUACACACCGCCCGUCACACCAUGGAAGUUGGCCAUGCCCGAAGUCGUUACUCCAACCCUUGUGGAGGAGGACGCCGAAGGUGGGGCUAAUGACUGGGGUGAAGUCGUAACAAGGUAGCCGUACCGGAAGGUGCGGCUGGAUCACCUCCUAA
rnacentral:rRNA from 1 species